GUUAAGCUAGCUUUGCACAGGAAUGUUAAGAGUUUUAUGCAGGAAAAAUCAUUAUUUGAGGGGGAGUGAAUGUUGGAGAUGAGAAACUCAAAAGAUGUCAACAUCAAAGUGAGCAAGUUAGUUGGUGAUAAAAGAGAAAGAGAUGAAGAUAGAGAGAGAGAAGCCUAGAGACUGAUCAAGACUGAAGACGUGAAGACACAACAUUGUCAUGACUCGAUGGUCGACUCGUUAACAUCUGAGGGAGAGUCUGUUGGUGCAUGCAUCUGUCGACUUAGUCUUGUAUCGAGUCUUAGCAUUAGAUUGUUAGAUUAGGGCACGUUAUACGAGAAAACAGGAGAUUGUAUGUAUUUUAGGAAAUAGUUUCGCUUAUAGUGACAUAGGAAGGUUUCGCUUAUCUGUCAUUGUAUAGUUCCGCUUGGAUGUCAGCUAAAGGUUUCGCUUGUAUGACAUGUACAAACAAGCGAACCUCAGCAACUAUAAAUAGUCCCAUAAGCGAAACAUUUGUAACAGUCUUGAAUACUCGUACCGAAGUGCU
rnacentral:lncRNA from 1 species